GGAAAGUCUCGACCUCCAUCCUCUGAACAUGUCGGCAUCUGCAUGUUUUGGAAGCUGUUAGGUAACAGAUCACACCUGGACUGAUAAUGGCUCCUUUGACAAGUUUUCUGGAAGUUUGUUCCAGAUUUGUGGAAGCUGAAUGCUGCUUCUGGUUCUGGAUGGAGAUCAGAACCAGAACCAGAACCUGGUCGGUGUGGCCUGCUGACCCAGCUGCAGCAGAUCUUCAUCUCCUGCUAUUUUUAGUUCGGCGCUCCGCCCGGUUCUGGAGGAAAACACCAGGAAGAUGCUGCUGCAUAUUAAUAUCAGCGUCCUGACAGCGAGCGGCGGACCGGGAGGUCAGCGGGUCAAGUUACAUGAGCAGAAACAAAAGAGUGAGAGCAGCGAGUCGGAUCGCUGACGGCGGCGCCCCGCCUCACUGAGGACAUCUGCUGGCGGAACAUGAGAAUGCAGCUCAGAUAUCUAGGAUUUUAAAUCCAUGUUGAACAUCUAACAACCAAAAUAUUCAUCGACUCAGAGUAAAAAGUCCAUGGUUCAAACCUAAAAUGUAUGAAUUGUACAAAUAUGAUAAGUUAUUUUAAAACUUUGGAUCAGAAGAUUAGUUUCCACCCUGAUUAAAGCUGAAAUGCUGAUUUUAUCAUAAAUAAAGCUAGAAAAAAAGGUUUCGGGUGAAAUUUAGGAAUUUUAGAUACAUUUUUAAGAAAUGUUGUUGCUAAAAUUUCCAAAUAAAUUUAGAAAUGAA